GAUGAACGCUGGCGGCGUGCCUAAUACAUGCAAGUCGAGCGAACGGACGAGAAGCUUGCUUUUCUGAUGUUAGCGGCGGACGGGUGAGUAACACGUGGAUAACCUACCUAUAAGACUGGGAUAACUUCGGGAAACCGGAGCUAAUACCGGAUAAUAUUUUGAACCGCAUGGUUCAAAAGUGAAAGACGGUCUUGCUGUCACUUAUAGAUGGAUCCGCGCUGCAUUAGCUAGUUGGUAAGGUAACGGCUUACCAAGGCAACGAUGCAUAGCCGACCUGAGAGGGUGAUCGGCCACACUGGAACUGAGACACGGUCCAGACUCCUACGGGAGGCAGCAGUAGGGAAUCUUCCGCAAAGGGCGAAAGCCUGACGGAGCAACGCCGCGUGAGUGAUGAAGGUCUUCGGAUCGUAAAACUCUGUUAUUAGGGAAGAACAUAUGUGUAGGUAACUGUGCACAUCUUGACGGUACCUAAUCAGAAAGCCACGGCUAACUACGUG
rnacentral:rRNA from 1 species